GGGGCGGGGCCAUUCUGGGGCGGGGCGGGGCCUCAGUCAGCUCCUUGCUACCCUAUGCUUCCUUCCUUUGCUUAAUGAACUUUUAAAGCCCAGUCUCAGAAGCCGCUUCCCUGGGAGCCCUAGCACCCUGCACAGCAUCUUCAGGGACUGUGAAAGCAUACCAGCAGGGAAGAAGUCUUCAGUGAGGUCUCACCUCACCAGGUGUCUUGCCUCUGCACAUGAGUCUUUUAGCAAACUCCAUGUUGAGUCUGGAUCAGCUGACAUCACUCUGCCAAUCAGCCCGCGUUGCAGAAGCUGCGAGAAGCUACCAGCACACCACCAGAAGGGUUUUUUGGUGUGUU
rnacentral:lncRNA from 1 species